rnacentral:rRNA from 1 species
GCCAGACUCCUACGGGAGGCAGCAGUGGGGAAUAUUGGACAAUGGGGGGAACCCUGAUCCAGCGACGCCGCGUGAGUGAAGAAGUAUUUCGGUAUGUAAAGCUCUAUCAGCAGGGAAGAAAGAAAUGACGGUACCUGACUAAGAAGCCCCGGCUAACUACGUGCCAGCAGCCGCGGUAAUACGUAGGGGGCGAGCGUUAUCCGGAUUCACUGGGUAUAAAGGGAGCGUAGACGGCCAAGCAAGCCAGGGGUGAAAGCCCGGGGCCCAACCCCGGGACUGCCCUUGGAACUGCUUGGCUGGAGUGCGGGAGGGGCAGGCGGAAUUCCUGGUGUAGCGGUGAAAUGCGUAGAUAUCAGGAGGAACACCGGCGGCGAAGGCGGCCUGCUGGACCGCGACUGACGUUGAGGCUCGAAAGCGUGGGGAGCGAACAGGAUUAGAUACCCCAGUA